GAUCCAUAAUAGUAUUUACCUCUGCAUAAAAAUCAUUAGUGUCUCAGUUAACACAUGAAAAAGAAUCCCAAAAGAACCUAACAGGACUCCAGAUACAAAAUCCACCUAUAAAAACUGGGAAAAAAGACGUUUUUAUACUGAGAAUCGAAUGUUGCUGCUUAACAACUAUCCAGCAUAUUGGGGAAGGGUGGUGGAUUGAAGGAAAAUCACUUAAAUAUAGGGGACAAAAUCUAUAAUCUUCGCAUAGACAUAUUUUCAUACUUGUAAGUAGAUAGAGAAGAUGGUUACGGACCUUCACCGGAGGAUCGGCAACUCU
rnacentral:misc_RNA from 1 species